GCAGUCUGCAGGCAUUUUAGCAGGUCUUCACUAGACCCACUAAAUCGACCGCCAAUGGAUCGAUCACCACAGCGUCGAUCCACGGCCCAGGUCAUGGCAAGUGGAACAGACCACAUUGAGAUGCUUCUGCACCUGAUCCAAGGACCGUCCCCUUAUAAACCAGUCAUCAAGGUAUGGGUAGAUUUGGACUCCCUGAUGUUGCAGGAGCUGGAAUGAGGGGAAUCCCAAGACCUCAAUGAUGGUGGAGGGCGGACCGGCUUUCUGGCCUACUGAGGAGUAUGUAUGCCUAAGAAAUGGAAGGUGGCCCAGGAGUCUUUACAGCCAUGGAGCCUAGCAUCAGUGAGCUCCAAGAAGAGCCCCGUUCCCUCAAACAGGAAGUCCAGGAGGGUUGAUUGCAUCUCCUGGGACAGCCCAGAGGUCUGUAACCAGGGGCUAUGCCUCAUGGCUAUUGCAGAGGCAACCACCCAGGAUGCUGAGUCCGUGGUGUUACAGGCCAUCUGGAGGACACCCUGGGUUAUCUCCCUGCCCUCUUCUAUGAAAGUGGCGAACUCCUGCGCCCGAUCCUGUGGGAGGCUCUCUUUGAACUUGCCAACGGAGUCCCACCGGUUGAAAUUGUAUCUGCCAAGUAGGGCCUGAUGGUUAGAGACCCUAAAUUGGAGGCUUGCUGUGGAAUAAUUUUUUCUGCCAAAUAAGGCUAGCCUCUUGGCAUCUUUAUAUUUGGGGGUGCCACUUGCCUGGCUCUUUUGUUGAUGGCAGACACAACCAGGGACCCCACAGGAGGGUGCGUGUAUAGGUAUUCAAACCUCUUUGCGGGGACAUAGUACUUCUUUUCUGCUUUCUUGGAUGUGAGCGAAAUGAAAGAUGGGGUCUGCCACACCAACUUGGUGAUGUUUAGGACCCCUGGAUGAACGGGCAAUGCAACCUGGGCAGGGGCAGAGUAGGGAAUGACAUUGAAGAGGUCAUCGGGCUCCUCAGCUAGCUCCUCGACCUCCAAGUUCAGGUUGGCCACCACCCUUCUAAGUAGGGUUUAGUGCUCCCUGACAGGGCUUUGGAGCUGUGCUCUGGCUCCGCUCCAGCUCCAGGCAAAAAUCUGCAACUCCACUGCUCCAGAGCUGCUCCGCGCUCCAGCUCCGGGCUCCGCUCCAAAGCCCUGCUCCCUGAAGUCAUCGGGGGGCUACCAGUUUGUGAGGACCCCGCCACCUCCUCAGCCAGGGACAAUGAGGAUGACUGCACCACCAGAGGUUGGGGGGCAUCCCAUUGCUGCAUCAGGGACCACUCCAUGGUCGCUGGGACCUCCCUUGGGGUCACUGCUUUGGAUUGGGCCCCUUGCUCUGACACUAGUGCCAGCUGUGCUGGGGGUAGCUUGUCUGAUGCCGCCUGGGAGGAACGGUGGGAGUAUGGUGCUGGCAUCACAGGUACCCCCCACGAGUUCCAGUACUGCCACUCGGCGGGCCAUUGCCCUUGAUCUCAUGCCGGUGCUACAGGUGGGCCCCCGGCUGGGAGACGAUUUGCCCCGUACAGGGGAAGGGCUAAACUGUCCCUCUGACCCAGACCACUGUCCUUCUGGUGACCAGGGUGGGACCGUCGACUGACUCUUGUCGGUGACCGGUAUGGGGAAGGUGAGGGCCAGUGCCUGCCCGAAGAACAAUACCGGGGCCUCGGCGACCAGUACCAUGACCAGGAACAGUCUCAUGUUGGAGGGGACCGAUGCCUAGGAGACCUGCAAGGUGAUGGCGACUGGCGCUUUGGCGAUCUCUGGUGGGAGUACUGUUGGUACCAAGAAUACAGGCAUUGGUGUCGUGAUUCCAGAGUCUGGUGUCUUGUAAGCAGAGACCAUGGUGUCGGAGAUCUGGACCUCUUGGCUGGAGACUGGGGUUGCAGUACUGGGGUCCUUGGCCAUGGCGAAGGGGAACGAUGGCUGCAGUCCGGGGACAUUCCACUGCCUUUAGGGUGGUCCUAUCACCAGCUUGGUCAUCUGAGCUGGUGUCUUGGCGGGAUCUGCCAUGCGGCCAGGCUUCUGCAGUGCUGGCUGGCCUAACUGUUCUUUGGCCACCGGGACCAUCUCAGGUGCAAAUGGCCCUGCAAUGGGCUGGGACCCUCUACCACUCCCCAGAAUCGGAAGUUGGUCCCUGGCUGGGCUAGGGGGUCCGACCACAGUGGUAUCCCCAAGAGCCUCCGUUGCAGGCAUGAGGCUAUUAGAAAAAACAAGCAAGGGAGAUUUCAUUAAUUAAUUGAGCGAGAAAGUGAUUUUUACUUAGGGUGUUCCUUUGGGGAUUUUUGUUAAUAACUAUUUAAUUCAAACACUUGGAAGAAGAACAGAUCUGUGUUACAGAUUGAAUCACUCCUCUGGCCAUUCAGUUAAAAGUCUAGGACCCUGAUCCUGCAGUCAAAUCCAUACAAGCAUGAACUUUGUGCCUUUA